rnacentral:rRNA from 1 species
GGUUCCCCCUUCGGGGGGACGAGGGUGACAGGUGGUGCAUGGUUGUCGUCAGCUCGUGUCGUGAGAUGUUGGGUUAAGUCCCGCAACGAGCGCAACCCUCGACCUUAGUUGCCAGCAUUCAGUUGGGCACUCUAAGGUGACUGCCGGCUAAAAGUCGGAGGAAGGUGGGGAUGACGUCAAAUCAUCAUGCCCCUUAUGACCUGGGCUACACACGUGCUACAAUGGGCGGUACAAAGGGUCGCGAACCCGCGAGGGGGAGCCAAUCCCAAAAAGCCGCUCUCAGUUCGGAUUGCAGGCUGCAACUCGCCUGCAUGAAGCCGGAAUCGCUAGUAAUCGCGGAUCAGCAUGCCGCGGUGAAUACGUUCCCGGGCCUU